GUAUCAUGGAAGAGAUUGGUUUUGCACCGGUUCAAACUUGCCAAAAAAAAAGUGAUUGAGAUUGAGAGAAGCGUGUUGCUGCAGUCACAAGGAAGUCCAAAAGCUAAUUUAUCAAGACUGCUUCGGGUUCUUGCAAGCUUCAACCUCGUGCAACAAGAAUUGAAAACGCAAACAUACUCUGUAUGAUUCCUGAUUCCGGCAGCGACAUCCAAGACGAGGGAUCUAGUUUAGGUCUUGGAUCCACUCUCUUGAAGAGGCUGUAUAGAUAAGCAGAGGAACAAUCUUAA
rnacentral:lncRNA from 1 species